AUUGAACGCUGGCGGCAGGCCUAACACAUGCAAGUCGAGCGAGCGGCGGACGGGUGAGUAAUGCCUGGGAAUUGCCCAGUCGAGGGGGAUACCAGUUGGAAACGAUUGCUAAUACCGCACUCGAUUGGAUUGCCUAGGUGGGAUUAGCUAGUGGGUGAUGGAAGGGCUCACCAAGGCGACGCUCCCUAGCUGGUCUGAGAGGCUGAUCAGCCACACUGGAACUGAGACACGGUCCAGACUCCUACGGGAGGCAGCAGUGGGGAAUAUUGCACAAUGGGGGAAACCCUGAUGCAGCCAGGCCGCGUGUGUGAAGAAGGCCUUCGGGUUGUAAAGCACUUUCAGCGAGGAGGCGUUACUCACAGAAGAAGCACCGGCUAACUCCGUGCCAGCCGCCGCGGUAAUAC
rnacentral:rRNA from 1 species